GCCCGGCUGGCACAAUCGGUAGCGCGUGAGACUCUUAAUCUCAAGGUUGGGGGUUCGAGCCCCCCGUCAGGCU